rnacentral:lncRNA from 1 species
AUAAACUUAAGCAAAUGAAACAAGAGUUGGGUCUGCUUUGUUGCGUGGACAUGUGUUUGAUAGUCCACAGUAUAGAGGACCAAUAAAUUCAACAAUUGUUUGAUAAGCAACACACUGACUCAAUGGUGCUCAAAAAAAAAAAAAAAACACACUGACUCAAUUAUUUAUGUGUAAUGGCUAUAAUGUCCUUGUUAAUUAUAUGAAAUUCACAAACCCCAUACGAUUCUCUCUCUCUCUCUCUCCCUCACUAUAUGAUUUUCUCUCUCUCUCUCACUCUUCCUAUCAGUGUAUCGCUGUGAUAGGCUCCGGCGCGGCUGUGUCCGACUGACGCCGCCUCUCGUCCGUUCCUCCCUUCUCGAUGCGUCGCUCAAUUUCUCAACCCUCAAACCUUGUUGUUGUUGUGUGUGUGGGAGUUUUGGGAGCAAUUGUUGUUGUUCUUGGUGAGUUCAGUCGGGGCUUGGAGGAGUAUGAAGUAGGGGAGAGCGGCGGUGGUGGUGGCUAUUGCUAUCUGACCGAAGGGGGGCGGCGAUUCUCGUUGUUCGCCGUUUGAAAUAGAGGGGGAGAUGGGGCUAUUGACGGUGAGAAUCGCGAAGGCGACGACGAUCUUGUUGACUGUUGGCGGUUCAGUGAGGGGAAAAGAGGGAGGUGUGGGCAGUGGAGAUCCAAAGACCUCUGCUAAUUGACGAUGGCAGAGCAACGGUGACGGUGAAUUCAUGUCGAGCUACCCAUUGUCACUAUUGUCCAUCCGACGGUAAGAAAUAGAGGGAGAUCAGUGGUGGCGGCUUUCGCUGCUGUUCGCCAGAGUGGAGUAGGACCUUAGGGACUAGGGAUUUAGAGGGAGGCGGUGGCGACUUAUAACCGUCGCCAAGGGAGAAAUCGACGCUGAGAGCUCUGUCGACCUAUAAAAGAUGAUAGAGAGAGAGGGAAGUCGAGGGAGAAGGGGACGACUGGUGGCUGCUCUUGCCCGGAAGCGAGCGACGCCGCCUGUCACGUGUGAGUGAUUCUGAUUUUGUGUGUAUGUGUGUGAUUCUCCAGAGAGAGAGAGAGAGAUGAAUUGGGGGCAAUCGCGUGAAAGAAAAAUAAACUUCAAGUCCAGCUACACUGACCGGAGCCCACCCCCUCACCCAUUUCCUUAAUUGAACAGUGAAUUAGGCUCAAGCCAAGCACUAAGUUCAGGCCUCCAGCUCUCUUUAAAUUACUUAUCAAACAC